UUUUUUGGAGGAACUAGCAUCCUGACGUGUGCUAAGGAGUGUGCUGACACCUGAGAAUACAGAAAUGAAUAAAAAAUAUAUGUAUAUAUUCCUUGGCUGCCUGGAAGGCUCAGUCAGUCUCAUGAGUUUGGCCUUAUUUCCGGCUUGCACCUGAGGACACUGAGGUUCUGAAUAGUGGGUUUCAGCCAACCCCUAGGGAAGAAGGAAGAGAGAGGGAAGCAUUAUUUUGACGGGGUUAAGAAUCAGGGCUCCAGAGUCGGGCGGAUCGGAACACCUGUAAC